GUGCCAGCAGCCGCGGUAAUACGGAGGUGGCAGGCGUUACUCGGAUUGAUUGGGUGUAAAGGGUGUGUAGGUGGCUAAUUAAGUCGAAUGUGAAAUCCCAUGGCUUAACCAUGGAACUGCAUUCGAAACUGAUUAGCUUGAGCGACAGAGAGGAAAGUGGAAUUCCCGGUGUAACAGUGAAAUGUGUAGAUAUCGGGAGGAACACCAGUGGCGAAGGCGACUUUCUGGCUGUCCGCUGACACUGAAACACGAGAGCAUGGGGAGCAAACAGGAUUAGAUACCCUUGUAGUCC
rnacentral:rRNA from 1 species